rfam:Thalassiosira oceanica strain CCMP1005 To_g15341, whole genome shotgun sequence.
AAACCGGAUUUUCUAAAAUCCACCCAACGAUCAAAGAUCAACCAC